rnacentral:antisense_RNA from 1 species
UCGUCGAGCAGGUCGGUUUCUCCGAAAUACUCUCCGUCGCCAAGCAGUGCGAUGCGCAGCUCCUCGCCGUGAGGACCCUUGCUGAUGACCUCAGCCUGUCCGCUGGCAACGAUAAAGAACUUCUGCUUGUCUUUUCCUUCCUCUACAAAGAGCUGUCCAAUCUCUACCUCGUUGGUUUCAAACGAGCGUGCCAGUCGUGUAACUAUCUCGUCGUCGAAGUCGGAGAACAGAGGAAUGGCCUUCAGGCUCUUUGCCGAGAACGACGGCACUCCGUUGAGGAACUGUAUUGGCAGCCGCUCGCUCUUUCGCAGCUCCACCUUGGUGCGGUUGACACGGAAGGUGCCUCCCGAGACCUGCACCCACGGCAGCAGCUUGAGCAGCAGGCGAGGAGUGAUGGAGCCCAUCUGUGGGGCUGUCUUGGUAGUGGUGGCCAGUCGUCUGGCGGUGGCAGUG